rnacentral:rRNA from 1 species
CUACGGGAGGCAGCAGUGGGGAAUAUUGCACAAUGGGGGGAACCCUGAUGCAGCGACGCCGCGUGAGUGAAGAAGUAUUUCGGUAUGUAAAGCUCUGUCAGCAGGGAAGAAGAAAGACGGUACCUGACCAAGAAGCCCCGGCUAACUACGUGCCAGCAGCCGCGGUAAUACGUAGGGGGCAAGCGUUAUCCGGAUUUACUGGGUGGAAAGGGAGCGUAGACGGCAGGGCAAGUCUGGAGUGAAAGGCAGGGGACCAACCCCUGGACUGCUCUGGAAACUGUCCGGCUGGAGUGCAGGAGAGGAAAGUGGAAUUCCUGGUGUAGCGGUGAAAUGCGUAGAUAUUAGGAGGAACACCAGUGGCGAAGGCGGCUUACUGGACUGUAACUGACGUUGAGGCUCGAAAGCGUGGGGAGCAAACAGGAUUAGAUACCCCUGUAGUC